ACGAACGCUGGCGGCGUGCUUAACACCUGCAAGUCGAACGGAAAGGCCCUGCUUUUGUGGGGUGCUCGAGUGGCGAACGGGUGAGUAACACGUGAGUAACCUGCCCUUGACUUUGGGAUAACUUCAGGAAACUGGGGCUAAUACCGGAUAGGAGCUCCUGCUGCAUGGUGGGGGUUGGAAAGUUUCGGCGGUUGGGGAUGGACUCGCGGCUUAUCAGCUUGUUGGUGGGGUAGUGGCUUACCAAGGCUUUGACGGGUAGCCGGCCUGAGAGGGUGACCGGCCACAUUGGGACUGAGAUACGGCCCAGACUCCUGCGGGAGGCAGCAGUGGGGAAUAUUGCACAAUGGGCGGAAGCCUGAUGCAGCAACGCCGCGUGCGGGAUGACGGCCUUCGGGUUGUAAACCGCUUUCGCCUGUGACGAAGCGUGAGUGACGGUAAUGGGUAAAGAAGCACCGGCUAACUACGUG
rnacentral:rRNA from 1 species